rnacentral:rRNA from 1 species
GGACUACAGGGGUAUCUAAUCCCGUUUGCUCCCCUGGCUUUCGCGCCUCAGCGUCAGUGUCAGCCUAGCAACCCGUCUUCACCUCAGGUAUUCCUCUUGAUAUCUACGCAUUUCACCGCUACACCAAGAAUUCUGAUUGCCCCUUCUGCACUCUAGCACAGCAGUAUCACUUGGCCGUUCUGAGUUAAGCUCAGAGAUUUCACAAGUGACUUACCACGCCGCCUACGCGCCCUUUACGCCCAGUAAAUCCGAACAACGCUUGGUCCCUACGUAUUACCGCGGCGGCUGGCAC